CUCAUUUCUAGUUUAUUAGUGCAGGAUCCGUCACGCUGGCAGCAGGAUUAAAGACUACAAAGAGCUUGGUCCAAGCCUCUGUGGGCCUGAACAUCACCAGCUCCGUGUUUGCAGUUAUAGGCAUCAUUAUCCAUAGCCUCAGCAUCUUCAUCAAUUCGUCGUGUGCAGGACCACAAUGUUCCAUAUUCUACUCAUUUUUCCGGGGUCUGGAUGGCCUCGUGCUGGCCUUCUCCUUGCUGGAAUUCGCCAUUGCCGUGGUCCUCUCCCACUUUGGAUGCCAAGUAGCUUGCUGCAGCUGCAGUGAGGUUACCUUGGUUCUGACAUCAGGCUCUCAGCUGGUGGGAACAGCGCCUUCUGCACCCCUCGGAGGAGGAUUGAUGGGAACAAGAACUCCCGAACGAAAUGACGGAAACCUCCCCCCUCCGAUUA